UACGAAGUGUAGUUUUUGUUACGGUAAUUUAUGGUAGCUUGUUUCAUUUUAAAACAUCUCCCACAUUUUCACCAUAUACAAGUAAUUGCAAAAUAUGUGUUUUAACACAAGGAGGAUUUUUAUUAUGGAAACAGGUACAGUAAAAUGGUUUAACUCAGACAAAGGUUUUGGUUUCAUCACUGCAGAAAACGGAAACGACGUAUUCGUUCACUUUUCAGCUAUCCAAGGUGAAGGCUUCAAAACUUUAGAAGAAGGUCAAGCUGUUACUUUCGAUAUCGAAGACGGACAACGUGGACCACAAGCUACUAACGUAAACAAAGCUUAAUUAUUGCCUAUCAGAGCAGCCUAGCUGCUCUUU
rnacentral:sRNA from 1 species